GGCUCUUUGACAGAGUCUGCCCAAGUGCCAAGGGAUAUUGAUCUUUCUCCUGGUCAGCCUUUGCAAUCCAAUCAAACCUCUGGAAGCCUUGGUGUUAUUGGUCGAAGAAGUGUUUCAGACCUUGGCACAAUUGGUGAUAACCUUGGUGGAUCAUCUACAAAUUCAGGGGGAAUGCAUGACCAAUUAUACAAUUUUCAGAUGCUUGAGGCUGCUUAUUACAAACUUCCUCAACCCAAAGACUCUGAACGUGCAAAGAGCUACAAUCCGAGACACCCUGCAGCGACUCCUCCUAGCUAUCCUCAAUCACAGGCACCCAUUGUCAAUAAUCCUGCAUUUUAGGAACGAUUAGGAGCUGAAUCUUAUGGCACCGAUACCCUAUUCUUUGCGUUUUACUAUCAACAGGCAGUUUGUGCCCCAUUACCACUGUUCAACUAAGGUUACUGCAAUUUUUCCACAAAACAUUAUCACAUGUUCAGGAGACACAACUUAUGAUGAAGACAGAAAUUCUAAGAGAAGGGCAAUACUGUUGGGAGUAGGAGCAUUAGCUUUGAUUUCAUGCCCUGCAAGUUCACUCUUUGCUGAAGUCUGUUGUUUAGGAAUUUGAUUUCAGAGGGCACGAUUCUGCAUUCAAAGACCGAUAUAUGCAAUUACAAAAUGUUCGGGUGAGCGUUGGGAAUGCCCUGCACUCAAAUUUCACUGACAACCCUGACCAAGAAUCUAUUAAACAGGAAAAGCUGAUCCUUGGAAUGCUGAGCCCUAUCGAUGAAUUCUCCAACAUAAAUAGUAGGAACAACCAGUGAAUGAUACUAAACAGAAAGCAAAGGUGUGAUGUCUGAAAGUUGAUUGCUUGAAGAGGUAAUAUGUUAGUAACUUGAGAUCCUUUGUGAUUGUUAAUGUUAAUUGGAUGGUUAUAGGCAAUGUAUGAAGAAGUUUAUGACAAGCUCACAUGUGAUUGAUCCAUGUU